rnacentral:rRNA from 1 species
GAUGAACGCUGGCGGCGUGCCUAAUACAUGCAAGUCGAGCGAACAGACGAGGAGCUUGCUCCUCUGACGUUAGCGGCGGACGGGUGAGUAACACGUGGAUAACCUACCUAUAAGACUGGGAUAACUUCGGGAAACCGGAGCUAAUACCAGAUCAUAUAUUGAACCGCAUGGUUCAAUAGUUAAAGACGGUUUUGCUGUCACUUAUAGAUGGAUCCGCGCCGCAUUAGCUAGUUGGUAAGGUAACGGCUUACCAAGGCAACGAUGCGUAGCCGACCUGAGAGGGUGAUCGGCCACACUGGAACUGAGACACGGUCCAGACUCCUACGGGAGGCAGCAGUAGGGAAUCUUCCGCAAUGGGCGAAAGCUUGACGGAGCAACGCCGCGUGAGUGAUGAAGGUCUUCGGAUCGUAAAACUCUGUUAUUAGGGAAGAACAAAUGUGUAAGUAACUAUGCACGUCUUGACGGUACCUAAUCAGAAAGCCACGGCUAACUACGUG